CUAGCGACUAUCGUGGCAUAUCAAUAAGCGGAGGAAAAGAAACUAACAAGGAUUCCCUUAGUAACGGCGAGUGAAGCGGGAAGAGCUCAAAUUUGAAAUCUUCAAGGUUCUACCUUGACGAAUUGUAGUUUAUAGAAGUGUUUUCUGUUAGUGGAGUGGCAAAAGUUCUUUGGAAUAGGACAUCAUAGAGGGUGAGAAUCCCGUAUUUGGUCAUUCCUCCUAGCGUUGUGAUACACUUUCAACGAGUCGGAUUGUUUGGGAAUGCAGUCCAAAAUGGGUGGUAAAUUUCAUCUAAAGCUAAAUAUUGGCGAGAGACCGAUAGCGAACAAGUACCGUGAGGGAAAGAUGGAAAGAACUUUGAAAAGAGAGUUAAACAGUACGUGAAAUUGUCAAAAGGGAAGCGUUUGACACCAGUGUUGUUUUUCCGAAAAUCAAUUACGAAUGUUUUGUUUUUAAGAAGUUAUGACUUCAUCGGCUUGCUUCUUUCUUUACGAAACUUUCUUAAUGCACUUUUCGGUUAACAAGUCAACAUCAAUUUCUUUUGUUGUAAAAGGGUAUGAGGAAGGUGGCUUUCUUUUCGGAGAAAGUGUUUAUAGCCUUGUGCCUCUGCAAUCGGAGAGAUUGAGGUCUGCAGCGUAGAUCCUUCGGGGUUAAAUACGUUUGUGCUAAGUUAUAGCUUUUCAUAGACAACUUGUUGACUAUGUUUAGUCUUGUAGCUUACUCGCUGACGCUAUUUUACCUACGCUUAGGAUGUUGAUAUGCAUGACUGAUAU
rnacentral:rRNA from 1 species